GGAGAGAUGCCAGAGUGGUUGAAUGGGGCGGUCUCGAAAACCGUUAUACGUUUAAAGCGUAUCGAGGGUUCAAAUCCCUCUCUCUCCGCCA
rnacentral:tRNA from 1 species